GGCCAGACUCCUACGGGAGGCAGCAGUGGGGAAUAUUGCACAAUGGGGGGAACCCUGAUGCAGCGACGCCGCGUGGGUGAAGGAGUAUUUCGGUAUGUAAAGCCCUAUCAGCAGGGAAGAACAAUGACGGUACCUGACUAAGAAGCACCGGCUAACUACGUGCCAGCAGCCGCGGUAAUACGUAGGGGGCAAGCGUUAUCCGGAUUUACUGGGUGUAAAGGGAGCGUAGACGGCGAUGCAAGUCUGAAGUGAAAGGCGGGGGCCCAACCCCCGGACUGCUUUGGAAACUGUAUAGCUGGAGUGCAGGAGAGGUAAGUGGAAUUCCUAGUGUAGCGGUGAAAUGCGUAGAUAUCAGGAGGAACACCGGUGGCGAAGGCGGCCUGCUGGACUGCAACUGACGUUGAGGCCCGAAAGCGUGGGGAGCAAACAGGAUUAGAUACCCCGGUAUUU
rnacentral:rRNA from 1 species